AACGAACGCUGGCGGCAGGCCUAACACAUGCAAGUCGAGCGGACCUUUCGGGGUCAGCGGCGGACAGGUGAGUAACGCGUGGGAAUAUGCCCUUCUCUACGGAAUAGUCCUGGGAAACUGGGGGUAAUACCGUAUACGCCCUUUGGGGGAAAGAUUUAUCGGGGAAGGAUUAGCCCGCGUUGGAUUAGGUAGUUGGUGGGGUAAUGGCCUACCAAGCCGACGAUCCAUAGCUGGUUUGAGAGGAUGAUCAGCCACACUGGGACUGAGACACGGCCCAGACUCCUACGGGAGGCAGCAGUGGGGAAUCUUAGACAAUGGGGGCAACCCUGAUCUAGCCAUGCCGCGUGAGUGAUGAAGGCCUUAGGGUUGUAAAGCUCUUUCAGCUGGGAAGAUAAUGACGGUACCAGCAGAAGAAGCCCCGGCUAACUCCGUG
rnacentral:rRNA from 1 species